rnacentral:rRNA from 1 species
UACGAAGGGUGCAAGCGUUACUCGGAAUUACUGGGCGUAAAGCGUGCGUAGGUGGUUCGUUAAGUCUGUCGUGAAAGCCCCGGGCUCAACCUGGGAAUGGCGAUGGAUACUGGCGAGCUAGAGUGCGGUAGAGGAGAGUGGAAUUCCCGGUGUAGCAGUGAAAUGCGUAGAGAUCGGGAGGAACAUCAGUUGCGGAAGGCGGCUCUCUGGACCAGCACUGACACUGAGGCACGAAAGCGUGGGGAGCAAACAGG